UGGUGUAGUGGUGAGCAUGCCUGCCUUCUAAGCAGCAGAUCUGGUUUUGAUUCCCAG
rnacentral:tRNA from 1 species